rnacentral:rRNA from 1 species
GAUGAACGCUGGCGGCGUGCCUAAUACAUGCAAGUCGAGCGAACAGACGAGGAGCUUGCUCCUCUGACGUUAGCGGCGGACGGGUGAGUAACACGUGGAUAACCUACCUAUAAGACUGGGAUAACUUCGGGAAACCGGAGCUAAUACCGGAUAAUAUAUUGAACCGCAUGGUUCAAUAGUGAAAGACGGUUUUGCUGUCACUUAUAGAUGGAUCCGCGCCGCAUUAGCUAGUUGGUAAGGUAACGGCUUACCAAGGCAACGAUGCGUAGCCGACCUGAGAGGGUGAUAGGCCACACUGGAACUGGGACACGGUCCAGACUCCUACGGGAGGCCGCAGUAGGGAAUCUUACGCAAUGGGCGAAAGCCUGACGGAGCAACGCCGCGUGAGUGAUGAAGGUCUUCGGAUCGUAAAACUCUGUUAUUAGGGAAGAACAAAUGUGUAAGUAACUAUGCACGUCUUGACGGUACCUAAUCAGAAAGCCACGGCUAACUACGUG